UUAUAGGCUUGGCUGGGUUUGCUGAAUAAGUACUGGAUCCUAAUGAACAGAAUGGUAUGUGAAAAAGAUUUGUGAAGACCAUGUUUCUUCAGAGAAGGCUAUAAAAUCAGAUUUAUGUUUCUUUGUAACUUUACAUUUUCAUUUCAGAAGGAAGUUGGUAGAUCACUUUGAGUUAACUAGUGUUGUUUCUGCAAGUAUGACAGUGGUUGAGCAUGUGCCCUAACAUCUGUCUUUGACAGGGAAUGGCUUUCCAAGGCCAGUUAGCUUAUUUUGCACAUCAGUCAUCCCUAGGAAAUCUGGUGGUGGUUGUGAAUUCUGUCUGUGUUCCUUUCCCAGCUGGGCUGAUUUAAAUGCAACAGUUUUUUCUCUGUGUGUUAUGGCACCUAUUGCAGGUUUCACUGAAGGCCCGUCCCCCCUGGUGAGCUCAUUAACUUGUCAGCAUUUCAGUAAUUACAAAAUUUUGAGUGCUGGGCCCAGUACUGCACCUCUUAAUUAAUUCUCUUGAAAAAUACAUGUUGGUCUCCCAUCACCAUUGCGCAGGCUUAUAUAACCUUUACUGACCAUGUUGUUGCACUUACAUAGUACUGAGCAGUGUGGUGUCCUCUUCUCCAAAUGCGACCACAGUGAGGAGUCACUGCACAUUCUGAAUGACUGUUACUGUCCCCUAUACCCUCUGUAGAAGUCUUACUCAGAGGAUGCCAGAAUGGGGGGUCUCUGGGUUCCUCAGCUCACUGGGGACAUCAGGAACAUGCUGCCUCAGAAUCAGGCCAUCAGUACUAGUUUUCAAGACCGUAUUCAGGAUACGAUGAUAGUCAUACUGCAUCUACUGUGUUAUUCACUGCUGCAUAAUCAAAACCUAAAGGCCAGCCUUUGUGUGAAAAUGCAAUAUGGAACAUUAAUUAGCACAAAAGUGAAAACGUGAAGAUGAGGAAUAACAAGAGCAUUUGGAAGCCCCUGAAAUUAAGAGUCUCCUGAAUGACAUCUGCAGAGUACUACAUGAGAUUGCAGCAUAUUCAGUCAAGAUCACCAAAUCUCUGCUCAUUUGCUCUAAGUUCAAAUUAAGCACCGUUCUAAGAACAAAAGAAAAUGACAAAAGGAGUCUUGUGCCUCAACAUUCAACAUGAAAUUUAUGUAACAUAUUUGUAGCUCAGGAAAUAAUAAAUAUUUCAUUAAAGAAUGAUAUUAAAUCA